rnacentral:rRNA from 1 species
UCAUCUACCCUAUGGACGGGGAUAACCUCGGGAAACUGAGAAUAAUACCCGAUAGAUCAUUAUGCCUGGAAUGGUUUAUGGUUCAAAUGAUUUUUCGCCAUAGGAUGGGACUGCGGUCUAUCAGCUUGUUGGUGAGGUAAUGGCCCACCAAGGCUAUAACAGAUACGGGCUCUGAGAGGAGAAGCCCGGAGAUGGGUACUGAGACACGGCACCCAGGUCCUAUGGGGCGCAGCAGGCGAGAAAGCUUUGCAAUGUGCGAAAGCACGACAAGGUCAAUCCGAGUGUUUUCUGCUAAAGAAAUCUUUUGUCAGUCCUAAAACACACUGACGAAUAAGGGGUGGGCAAGUUCUGGUGUCAGCCGCCGCGGUAAAACCAGCACCUCAAGUGGUCAGGCAGGAUUAUUGGGCCUAAAGCAUCCGUAGCCUGCUCUGUAAGUUUUCGGUUAAAUCUAUAUGCUCAACAUAUAGGCUGCCGGGAAUACUGCAGAGCUAGGGAGUGGGAGAGGUAGAUGGUACUCGGUAGGAAGGGGUAAAAUCCUUUGAUCUAUUGAUGA